rnacentral:rRNA from 1 species
UUAAAAUUUAUUUAUUUAAUUUUUAUUUUUUUAAUUUAAUUUAUUAAAAAUAAUUAUAUAAUAUAAUGUUUUAGUAUAUUUUAUAAAAUAAAUAAAAUUUAAUAAUAGUUUAUUAGUAUUGUGAAAUAAAAUUGAAAUAUAAUGAAAAAUUUUUAUUUUAAAAGAAAAUUUAAUUUAUUGUAUCUUGUGUAUCAGAGUAUAUUAAAUAAAAAAUAAUUAAUAUAUUUUUCUCGAUUUUAAAAGAUUUAAUAAAUUAAUAAAUAUAAUGUAAUAAAAUUAUUUUUAAUAAUUUAUUAGAAAUGAAAUGUUAUUCGUUUUUAAAGGUAUCUAGUUUUUUAAGAAAUAAAUUUAAUUUAAGAUUUUAAAAUUUAUUUAUUUAAUUAAUAAUUAAUUAAAUAAUUUUUAAAAUUUAAUAUUUUAUGGGAUAAGCUAUAAAAUAAAUUUUUAUAAAUAAUAAAUAUUUAUUUAAUAUAUAAUAUGGUUAGAAUUAUCAAUUUUUGUAAAGUUUGUUAUAAAUUAAUUUUUAUAUAAUAUUAUUUAUUGUAUUUUAAAUUUUUAUUAAAAUAUUUAUUUAAAUAUAAAAAAUAAAUUAAUAAUGAUGUAAUUAGUAUAUAUUUUUGUAUAAUUAAAUUUAUUAAUGUUAAGUUUUAAUAAAGAAUUCGGCAAAAAUAAUAUUCGCCUGUUUAACAAAAACAUGUCUUUUAGAAAUUAAUUUAAAGUCUAACCUGCCCACUGAUUUUUUUAAAUGGCCGCAGUAUAUUAACUGUGCAAAGGUAGCAUAAUCAUUAGUCUUUUAAUUGAAGGCUGGAAUGAAUGGUUGGACGAAAUAUUAACUGUUUCAUUUAAAUUUAUAAUAAAAUUUUAUUUUUUAGUUAAAAAGCUAAAAUUUAUUUAAAAGACGAGAAGACCCUAUAAAUCUUUAUAUAUACUUUAUUUUAUAUUUUAUAAAUAAAUUUUAUUAAAAUAAUAAUUAUAUAUUUUAUUGGGGUGAUAUUAAAAUUUAAAUAACUUUUUAUAAAAUAAAUCAUUAAUAUAUGAAUAAUUGAUCCAUUUUUAAUGAUUAUAAAAUUAAGUUACUUUAGGGAUAACAGCGUAAUUUUUUUGGAGAGUUCAUAUUGAUAAAAAAGAUUGCGACCUCGAUGUUGGAUUAAGAUAUAGCUUUAGGUGCAGUCGUUUAAAGUUUAAGUCUGUUCGACUUUUUAAAUCUUACAUGAUCUGAGUUCAGACCGGCGUAAGCCAGGUUGGUUUCUAUCUUUAAUAAUAUAAUAUAUUUUAGUACGAAAGGAUUAAAUAUAUAAAUAAUUUUAUUUUUAAAAUAAGAAUAUAAUUAAUAUUAUA